GACGAACGCUGGCGGCGCGCCUAACACAUGCAAGUCGAACGAGCGAGCGAGAGCUUGCUUUCUCGAGCGAGUGGCGAACGGGUGAGUAACGCGUGAGGAACCUGCCUCAAAGAGGGGGACAACAGUUGGAAACGACUGCUAAUACCGCAUAAGCCCACGGCUCGGCAUCGAGCAGGGGGAAAAGGAGCAAUCCGCUUUGAGAUGGCCUCGCGUCCGAUUAGCUAGUUGGUGAGGUAACGGCCCACCAAGGCGACGAUCGGUAGCCGGACUGAGAGGUUGAACGGCCACAGUGGGACUGAGACACGGCCCAGACUCCUACGGGAGGCAGCAGUGGGGAAUAUUGCACAAUGGGGGAAACCCUGAUGCAGCGACGCCGCGUGGAGGAAGAAGGUCUUCGGAUUGUAAACUCCUGUUGUUGGGGAAGAUAAUGACGGUACCCAACAAGGAAGUGACGGCUAACUACGUG
rnacentral:rRNA from 1 species